GUGCUCACUUCAGCAGCACAUAUACUAAAAUUGGAAUGAUACAGAGAUUAGCAUGACCCCUGUGCAAGGAUGACAUGCAGAUUUGCGAAGCAUUCCAUAUUUUG